GCCGGGCGCCCUCGAGCUCCGCCCCGGAGACGCCGAUGCGGGGCGGCCCCGGCGGGGAGAAGCGCGCGGAAGGGGUUGCGGAGGGGAUGCUGACCCUGGAGGGCCAAAGAGCCCCCAGAGACAGGCCAGUCCAUCAAGCUUCCGGCGUGCCUAAGCCACGGUCACGGCCACCAUGCAUUAUUAACUUGGCUAGCAGCAAGACCUCAUAAAUGCAAAGUAACCAUUCAAGGACACCACUUCCAGCUUGUAAUGUAUAAGGAUGCAACUGACCAAUUCCAGGGAUCCUUGUGGAUAAGGAAUAAACUCUGUGAAUGCAAGAUGCCAUAUUGUGAGCUAAGCUGUGGAUAGACCCUCUGGCAAGCAACUGAGGGCAGACUCCAGACAAUACCCAGAAAGGAACUGAAACUCUGAGUCCAACAACCCAAAGGAACUGAAUCCUCCCAACAACCAUAUGAGCUUGGAGGUAGAUUCUUCCCCAAUCAGAUCUUCAGAUAAGAAUCCAACUCCUAGCCAACUCCUUAAUUGCAGCCUCAUGAGAAGUCCCAAAGCAGAGGACUCCGCUAAGCCAUGCCUGGAUUCUUGAUUCACACAAACUCUGAGGUAAUAGAUGUGUGUUGUUUUAAGCCACUACCUUUGUGUAUGCAGCAACAGAUAACUAAUAAAAACACCUGCUGAUGUUCUAA